UUAAAUUGAAGAGUUUGAUCAUGGCUCAGAUUGAACGCUGGCGGCAGGCCUAACACAUGCAAGUCGAACGGUAACAGGAAGCAGCUUGCUGCUUCGCUGACGAGUGGCGGACGGGUGAGUAAUGUCUGGGAAACUGCCUGAUGGAGGGGGAUAACUACUGGAAACGGUAGCUAAUACCGCAUAAUGUCGCAGGACCAAAGAGGGGGACCUUCGGGCCUCUUGCCAUCAGAUGUGCCCAGAUGGGAUUAGCUUGUUGGUGAGGUAACGGCUCACCAAGGCGACGAUCCCUAGCUGGUCUGAGAGGAUGACCAGCCACACUGGAACUGAGACACGGUCCAGACUCCUACGGGAGGCAGCAGUGGGGAAUAUUGCACAAUGGGCGCAAGCCUGAUGCAGCCAUGCCGCGUGUAUGAAGAAGGCCUUCGGGUUGUAAAGUACUUUCAGCGGGGAGGAAGGGGAUAAGGCUAAUAACCUUGUUCAUUGACGUUACCCGCAGAAGAAGCACCGGCUAACUCCGUGCCAGCAGCCGCGGUAAUACGGAGGGUGCAAGCGUUAAUCGGAAUUACUGGGCGUAAAGCGCACGCAGGCGGUCUGUCAAGUCGGAUGUGAAAUCCCCGGGCUCAACCUGGGAACUGCAUUCGAAACUGGCAGGCUUGAGUCUUGUAGAGGGGGGUAGAAUUCCAGGUGUAGCGGUGAAAUGCGUAGAGAUCUGGAGGAAUACCGGUGGCGAAGGCGGCCCCCUGGACAAAGACUGACGCUCAGGUGCGAAAGCGUGGGGAGCAAACAGGAUUAGAUACCCUGGUAGUCCACGCCGUAAACGAUGUCUACUUGGAGGUUGUGCCCUUGAGGCGUGGCUUCCGGAGCUAACGCGUUAAGUAGACCGCCUGGGGAGUACGGCCGCAAGGUUAAAACUCAAAUGAAUUGACGGGGGCCCGCACAAGCGGUGGAGCAUGUGGUUUAAUUCGAUGCAACGCGAAGAACCUUACCUGGUCUUGACAUCCACGGAAGUUUUCAGAGAUGAGAAUGUGCCUUCGGGAACCGUGAGACAGGUGCUGCAUGGCUGUCGUCAGCUCGUGUUGUGAAAUGUUGGGUUAAGUCCCGCAACGAGCGCAACCCUUAUCCUUUGUUGCCAGCGGUCCGGCCGGGAACUCAAAGGAGACUGCCAGUGAUAAACUGGAGGAAGGUGGGGAUGACGUCAAGUCAUCAUGGCCCUUACGACCAGGGCUACACACGUGCUACAAUGGCGCAUACAAAGAGAAGCGACCUCGCGAGAGCAAGCGGACCUCAUAAAGUGCGUCGUAGUCCGGACUGGAGUCUGCAACUCGACUCCAUGAAGUCGGAAUCGCUAGUAAUCGUGGAUCAGAAUGCCACGGUGAAUACGUUCCCGGGCCUUGUACACACCGCCCGUCACACCAUGGGAGUGGGUUGCAAAAGAAGUAGGUAGCUUAACCUUCGGGAGGGCGCUUACCACUUUGUGAUUCAUGACUGGGGUGAAGUCGUAACAAGGUAACCGUAGGGGAACCUGCGGUUGGAUCACCUCCUUACCUGAAAGAA
rnacentral:rRNA from 1 species